rnacentral:rRNA from 1 species
AUUGAACGCUGGCGGCAGGCUUAACACACGCAAGUCGAGCGGGGGAAGGUAGCUUGCUACCGGACCUAGCGGCGGACGGGUGAGUAAUGCUUAGGAAUCUGCCUAUUGGUGGGGGACAACAUCUCGAAAGGGAUGCUAAUACCGCAUACGUCCUACGGGAGAAAGCGGGGGAUCUUCGGACCUUGCGCUAAUAGAUGAGCCUAAGUCGGAUUAGCUAGUUGGUGGGGUAAAGGCCUACCAAGGCGACGAUCUGUAGCGGGUCUGAGAGGAUGAUCCGCCACACUGGCACUGAGACACGGCCCAGACUCCUACGGGAGGCAGCAGUGGGGAAUAUUGGACAAUGGGCGCAAGCCUGAUCCAGCCAUGCCGCGUGUGUGAAGAAGGCCUUAUGGUUGUAAAGCACUUUAAGCGAGGAGGAGGCUACUUUAGUUAAUACCUAGAGAUAGUGGACGUUACUCGCAGAAUAAGCACCGGCUAACUCUGUGCCAGCCGCCGCCGUAAAAC